rnacentral:snRNA from 1 species
UCUGUUCUAAUCAGUGUGAAAACUGGUUUCCGACGUUUUUCGUUGGUCUUUUUCACAUUCAUUUUUGGAACUUCCGAGAAUGCUAGCUUGCUAGCUUUUCUUGGAACGGUCUCCGGGGGCUUUCACUAUCUCCCCCGCGAGGCCA